CAAUGGGCGCAAGCCUGAACGAGCAACGCCGCGUGGAGGAUGACGGCCUUCGGGUUGUAAACGUCCUUUUCCGGGGGACGAUGAUGACGGUACCCUGGGAAUAAGGCUCGGCUAACUCUGUGCCAGCAGCCGCGGUAAUACAGAGGAGUCAAGCGUUGUCCGGAUUGACUGGGCGUAAAGCGCACGCAGGCGGUCUGGCGCGUGGGGUGUGAAAUCUGGCCGCUUAACGGCCAGGCGCCAUCCCAUACGGCCGGACUGGAGGGCUGCAGAGGUCGAUGGAAUUGCCGGUGUAGUGGUGAAAUGCGUAGAGAUCGGCAGGAACACCCAGGGGGAAACCAGUCGACUGGGCAGCACCUGACGCUGAGGUGCGAGAGCGUGGGGAGCGAACCGGAUUAGAUACCCGGGUAGUCCACGCCGUAAACGAUGGCCACUCGGCCUUUGGGGGCGGAAUCUCCGUCCGUGGGGGCCUUAGCUAACGCGGGAAGUGGCCCGCCUGGGAACUACGAGCGCAAGCUUA
rnacentral:rRNA from 1 species